UACGGGAGGCAGCAGGGGGAAUAUUGCACAAUGGGCGCAAGCCUGAUGCAGCCAUGCCGCGUGUAUGAAGAAGGCCUUCGGGUUGUAAAGUACUUUCAGCGGGGAGGAAGGCGAUGCGGUUAAUAACCGCGUCGAUUGACGUUACCCGCAGAAGAAGCACCGGCUAACUCCGUGCCAGCAGCCGCGGUAAUACGGAGGGUGCAAGCGUUAAUCGGAAUUACUGGGCGUAAAGCGCACGCAGGCGGUCUGUUAAGUCAGAUGUGAAAUCCCCGGGCUUAACCUGGGAACUGCAUUUUGAAACUGGCAGGCUUGAGUCUUGUAGAGGGGGUAGAAUUCCAGGUGUAGCGGUGAAAUGCGUAGAGAUCUGGAGGAAUACCGGUGGCGAAGGCGGCCCCUGGGACAAAGACUGACGCUCAGGGUGCGAAAGCGUGGGGAGCAAACAGGAUUAGAUACC
rnacentral:rRNA from 1 species